rnacentral:rRNA from 1 species
GACGAACGCUGGCGGCGUGCUUAACACAUGCAAGUCGUACGGUAAGGCCCUUUCGGGGGUACACGAGUGGCGAACGGGUGAGUAACACGUGAGUAACCUGCCCACAACUUUGGGAUAACGCUAGGAAACUGGUGCUAAUACUGGAUAUGUGCUCCUGCUGCAUGGUGGGGGUUGGAAAGCUCCGGCGGUUGUGGAUGGACUCGCGGCCUAUCAGCUUGUUGGUGGGGUAGUGGCCUACCAAGGCAGCGACGGGUAGCCGGCCUGAGAGGGUGACCGGCCACAUUGGGACUGAGAUACGGCCCAGACUCCUACGGGAGGCAGCAGUGGGGAAUAUUGCACAAUGGGCGCAAGCCUGAUGCAGCAACGCCGCGUGCGGGAUGACGGCCUUCGGGUUGUAAACCGCUUUCAGCAGGGACGAAGCUUUUUGUGACGGUACCUGCAGAAGAAGCACCGGCUAACUACGUG